rnacentral:rRNA from 1 species
GGCUCAGAUUGAACGCUGGCGGCAUGCCUUACACAUGCAAGUCGAACGGCAGGCACGGGGCAACCUGGUGGCGAGUGGCGAACGGGUGAGUAAUGCAUCGGAACGUGCCAUUGAGUGGGGGAUAACGUAGCGAAAGUUGCGCUAAUACCGCAUAUUCUGUGAGCAGGAAAGCAGGGGACCGCAAGGCCUUGCGCUCUUUGAGCGGCCGAUGUCAGAUUAGCUAGUUGGUGAGGUAACGGCUUACCAAGGCGACGAUCUGUAGCGGGGUCUGAGAGGAUGAUCCGCCACACUGGAACUGAGACACGGUCCAGACUCCUACGGGAGGCAGCAGUGGGGAAUUUUGGACAAUGGGCGCAAGCCUGAUCCAGCCAUGCCGCGUGAGUGAAGAAGGCCUUCGGGUUGUAAAGCUCUUUCGGCCGGGAAGAAAUCGCAUGGGUUAAUACCCUGUGUGGAUGACGGUACCGGAAUAAGAAGCACCGGCUAACUACGUG